CGGGUAGCGGAACACGUACACAACCUUCCUUUAAGAGGGGAUAGCCCAGAGAAAUUUGGAUUAAUACCCGUAAGAUUAUGAGAUGGCAUCAUUUUAUAAUUAAAGCUAAGGCGCUUGGAGAUGGGUGUGCGUCUGAUUAGGUAGUUGGUGCGGGUAACGGCCCACCAAGCCUUCGAUCAGUAACUGGUGUGAGAGCACGACCAGUCACACGGGCACUGAGACACGGGCCCG
rnacentral:rRNA from 1 species